GAUGAAGAACGCAGCGAAAUGUGAUACGUAAUGUGAAUUGCAGAAUUCAGUGAAUCAUCGAAUCUUUGAACGCAUAUUGCGCUCUCUGGUAUUCCGGAGAGCAUGCUUGUUUGAGUAUCAGUAAACACCUCAACUUCCAUAUCUUUUUUGAAAUGGGAGUUGGACUUGAGUGAUCCCAACGCUUUUCCUCACCGAAAAGUGGCGGGUUACUUGAAAUGCAGGUGCAGCUGGACUUUUCUCUGAGCUAUAAGCAUAUCUAUUUAGUCUGCCUAAAAAACAGAUUAUUACCUUUGCUGCAGCUAACAUAAAGGAGAUUAGUUCUUGUGCUGACCGAUGCAGGAUUCACAAAGACAGGCUUCGGCCGACUUUGUAAACUCGAUCUCAAAUCAAGUAAGACUACCCGCUGAACUUAAGCAUAUCAAUAAGCGGAGGA
rnacentral:misc_RNA from 1 species